UGUAAGUGGCCCCCGGCAUGCCCGGGGAACAAGUGAACCAUGACCAUGACUAAGGGAAACCCAAUGAAAAAAUAAGAGUGCUACACCAUUGAUAUCACUAUAUAUAUUGCUAGAUUCCAGAAGAGCUCAGCGGGAAUAGAGGGGUAGAAUGUGAAGUGUUUAAACUAUAGUACCUGGGUUUUAUAUAAAAAAAGAUAUGCUUAUUAACGCUCAUUGCUUCGUGGAAGACGAGGCGACACGUGCAUGGUACACGACACAAUGACAUUUAAAAAAAUGGAUACCAAAAUCCAGAAGCAGAGAUUGCUAGCGGGCCGUGUGAAAAAUAGGCCCAGACCUGUUCCAUCAUCUUUGCCUUUACAAAUCUGUAUCGUGUGCAAAUCUCUUCCAAUCUCAUAGCUUUCUUUGACUUGGCUCUUUGGCAAUAAUUAUGCAUUACUUAUGUAAGUUUUCCACACGGUACCUAGCUCAGAGGCAGUCAUCUUGAUCUACAAAAGGAAGACGUGAGCAAUUCAGUGAUCAUUCUUUUCCAGCCUACAUACCCUACCAGAGUUGGUUGAUUGUUUCACCUAUCACCAGUGUAUCACGUUGAAAAGUCUUUGAUCCAUUUUGUAUCACGUACAGUCCUGGCACAAAUGGUGUUUCUCGUGCGAAUCUUGCAGUAAGCACCUGGAUUCCACCACCGUGUCCGA